rnacentral:rRNA from 1 species
UACAGCGGUCCCAAGCGUUGUUCGGAUUCAUUGGGCGUAAAGGGUGCGUAGGUGGCGCCGUAAGUGGGGUGUGAAAUUUCGGAGCUUAACUCCGAAACUGCAUUCCAUACUGCGGUGCUUGAGGACUGGAGAGGAGACUGGAAUUUACGGUGUAGCAGUGAAAUGCGUAGAGAUCGUAAGGAAGACCAGUGGCGAAGGCGGGUCUCUGGACAGUUCCUGACACUGAGGCACGAAGGCCAGGGGAGCAAACGGG